GAAAUCGGGAUAACUUCGCGAAAGCGGGGCUAAUACCGGAUAAUAUUUUUUGGUCAUAUGAACGUUAAAUCAAAGGUGACCUCUUCACAAUGUUGCCGUUCAGGGAUGGGCUCGCGGUCCAUUAGCUUGUUGGUAGGGUAAUGGCCUACCAAGGCGACGAUGGAUAACCGGCCUGAGAGGGUGUACGGUCACACUGGAACUGAGACACGGUCCAGACUCCUACGGGAGGCAGCAGUGGGGAAUAUUGCGCAAUGGGGGCAACCCUGACGCAGCGACGCCGCGUGAGCGAUGAAGGUCUUCGGAUUGUAAAGCUCUGUCAGAUGGGAAGAAACGCAUGAGUCUCAAUAGGAUUCAUGUUUGGCGGUACCAUCAGAGGAAGCCCCGGCUAACUCCGUGCCAGCAGCCGCGGUAAUACGGAGGGGGCAAGCGUUGUUCGGAAUUACUGGGCGUAAAGGGCACGUAGGCGGCCUGAUUAGUCAGGCGUGAAAUCCCAUGGCUUAACCAUGGAAUUGCGUUUGAUACUAUCAGGCUUGAGUAUGGGAGAGGAGAGUGGAAUUCCUAGUGUAGCGGGUGAAAUGCGCA
rnacentral:rRNA from 1 species